UACGUAGGGUGCAAGCGUUUAAUCGGAAUCACUGGGCGUAAAGGGCGCGUAGGCGGCCAUUCAAGUCGGGGGUGAAAGCCUGUGGCUCAACCACAGAAUUGCCUUCGAUACUGUUUGGCUUGAGUUUGGUAGAGGUUGGUGGAACUGCGAGUGUAGAGGUGAAAUUCGUAGAUAUUCGCAAGAACACCAGUGGCGAAGGCGGCCAACUGGACCAACACUGACGCUGAGGCGCGAAAGCGUGGGGAGCAAACAGG
rnacentral:rRNA from 1 species